GCAGCACGGACGGAAGCGGAAGUGGCGGCGUGCGUGCGGCAGUGGAGACGGCGGCGGCGGUGGCUGGCGUCAGGCUGUGGACGAAGAGGCGGCCUCGGUGAGCCUCCCCGCAUCCCGUGCCCCCUGCUCGCUGCUGCCGCUGACCCUUGGGCGCUGCGCUGGUCCAGAGCGUGUUGUCCUCUGACGCCGUCAGAACCUGAGCUCCCUGCGAGCUGGGACUCCGCCGUGUCUUCAUUGCCUCCAGUGCAAAGCAACUGCUUGCAAGAGAACAAAAGUGUGUUCAGGUGCACAGAGUAGAAAAUUCAAGGAGCCUGAAAGGGUAUUUGGUGAAGACUUGAUGUGUUUUUCCCAGUCCUAACCUCCAAGGCCCAGUUCUCCCCUGGGGCAGAGGGAAACCCGUUUCUUACGGGUCUGCAAAGAAAGUCUAUGCAGGAACAUCUACGUGCGUUUCUGCAAAAGGUCAGUUACUUUACUUGGGGCUCUUAUACUUAACGUAGCUCGGAGAGCGCCCCAUGCAUUCAGAUACAGGUGGGAUUCCUCCGGAAACGGAGUUUUAUAGCACCAGACUUUAUCCCCUUUCCUGUAGAAAUUUAGGGUUUUUGCUGUCUUUUAUAACGAACAAUGCUAGCUUGACUAUUGCUUGUACAAACCGUUUUUUGCCCAAGUCGGACUAUUUUCUUAGGUUAAAUUCCUUGGUGCAGAAGUGCGAGGGCUGUAUUUAGGCCCCUAAAGGGGUGGUACCAAAUCGCCCUCCCCCACCAGCAUAAGAGGGGGCCGGCGACACCCUUGCCCAAGCUGGAUUUUGCAGACCUGGUAGGCGUGAGAUAGUAUUUCACUGUAGCUUGUGUUUCCUGUAAGUAUAGUCGAACGUCGUGAUGUUCCUGUUACAUCUAUGUUACGUUGAUCAUUGUUACCACUGACAGUCGUUUCGAGAUUGGAAAAUAUGUUUAUUAUAAACGUUUGACUAUUUAAAAGCCAUUUGUAUUUUAUCUUCUUGGCUCAUUUUUCUGUUGGGUGGAUGGUGGUGGUUUCUAGGUGCACUUUACAGAUUAAGAAAAUUCGCUUUCUGUCUAGUAGAAGUGUUUUUUUUUUUUUUUUUUUUUUUUUUUUUUUGGGACUCUGACACAUUUAUUGCUGAAUACCAUUUCUCGGCUGACCCGGAAGUGUUUCUUUUUUCUAUCUGUCAUUAGUCUUUGACUUUGUUUGUAUUUUUUUCUUUAAGCUAAGCAUCUAAAAUUGUUACUGGUCAUUAGUUUUUUUCUCUUUACGGCUCCUGCAUUUUUGUGUCAUCUCAGGAAUAUCUUCUCCGCUGUAAGAUCAUAAAACAUUUGAGAUUUUCUUCUAGAAAUGUAGUGGGGUUUUUUUUUCCCCAUAUAUUUAAAUGCUUAUGUCUAAUUUUAGAAAGUAUUCCUGGUAAGGAGUAAGGUAGGAAGCAAAACUUUUUUUCCACAAAUUGUCCCAACUUUAUUUCCCAAAAAAGCAUUCUUUUCCCCACUGAAGUGCUGUCUUUAUGGCAAGUAGAUUUGGGUCUGUCCCUAGACUCUUAUCCCAGUUUUCCAGAACCCCAUUGUCUUCCUGACCUCAUGUCCGGAGGCCCCUCCUCCUUGCAUUAUUUUGCACGUUUCUUUUUUCUCCUGAACAGCAGGCAAGUUUAUCUGGUUCUCCC
rnacentral:lncRNA from 1 species